rnacentral:rRNA from 1 species
GUACACGCUGUGACUAGCAUAUCAAUAAGCGGAGGAAAAGAAACUAACAAGGAUUCCCUUAGUAACGGCGAGUGAAGCGGGAAGAGCUCAAAUUUGAAAUCUUCAAGGUUUUACCUUGACGAAUUGUAGUUUAAAGAAGUGUUUUCUGCUGAAGUUUUGGUAAAAGUUCUUUGGAAUAGGACAUCAUAGAGGGUGAGAAUCCCGUAUUUGACCAUUAUUUUCAGCUUUGUGAUACACUUUCAAAGAGUCGGAUUGUUUGGGAAUGCAGUCCAAAAUGGGUGGUAAAUUUCAUCUAAAGCUAAAUAUUGGCGAGAGACCGAUAGCGAACAAGUACCGUGAGGGAAAGAUGAAAAGGAACUUUGAAAAGAGAGUUAAACAGUACGUGAAAUUGUCAAAAGGGAAGCGUUUGACACCAGUGUUGUUUUCUCGAAAAUCAAUUAAAAAUGGCUCGAUUUUGCAUUGCUUGAGACCUUAAAAGCUCACUGUACAUUUUUCGUGUCUUUUUUAAUGCACUUUUCGUUUAACAAGUCAACAUCAGUUUCUUUUGUUGUAAAAGGGUCAUUGGAAGGUGGCUUUCUUUUCGGAGAAAGUGUUUAUAGCCUUUGGCCUCUGCAAUCGAAGAGACUGAGGUCUGCAGCGUAGACUCUUCGGGAUUAGAUACAUUUGUGCUAAGUUAUAGCUUUUUAUAGACAACUUGUUGACUAUAAUUAGUCUUGUAGCUUACUCGCUUAUGCUAUUUUACCUACGCUUAGGAUGUUGAGUAGCGACAUACGCAC